rnacentral:tRNA from 1 species
AAGAAAUAAGCAUUAUGGUAUGUAGCUGGCUUGAAACCAGUUGAAGGGGGUUCGAGUCCUCCCUUUCUUG